GGGUUGUGAGGUUAAGCGACUAAGCGUACACGGUGGAUGCCCUGGCAGUCAGAGGCGAUGAAGGACGUGCUAAUCUGCGAAAAGCGUCGGUAAGGUGAUAUGAACCGUUAUAACCGGCGAUGUCCGAAUGGGGAAACCCAGUGCAAUUCGUUGCACUAUCGUUAACUGAAUACAUAGGUUAACGAGGCGAACCGGGGGAACUGAAACAUCUAAGUACCCCGAGGAAAAGAAAUCAACCGAGAUUCCCCCAGUAGCGGCGAGCGAACGGGGAGCAGCCCAGAGUCUGAAUCAGCUUGUGUGUUAGUGGAACGGUCUGGAAAGUCCGACGGUACAGGGUGAUAGUCCCGUACACCAAAAUGCACAGGCUGUGAACUCGAAGAGUAGGGCGGGACACGUGGUAUCCUGUCUGAAUAUGGGGGGACCAUCCUCCAAGGCUAAAUACUCCUGACUGACCGAUAGUGAACCAGUACCGUGAGGGAAAGGCGAAAAGAACCCCGGCGAGGGGAGUGAAAAAGAACCUGAAACCGUGUACGUACAAGCAGUGGGAGCACCUUCGGGUGUGACUGCGUACCUUUUGUAUAAUGGGUCAGCGACUUAUAUUCUGUAGCAAGGUUAACCGUAUAGGGGAGCCGCAGGGAAACCGAGUCUUAACUGGGCGUUAAGUUGCAGGGUAUAGACCCGAAACCCGGUGAUCUAGCCAUGGGCAGGUUGAAGGUUGGGUAACACUAACUGGAGGACCGAACCGACUAAUGUUGAAAAAUUAGCGGAUGACUUGUGGCUGGGGGUGAAAGGCCAAUCAAACCGGGAGAUAGCUGGUUCUCCCCGAAAGCUAUUUAGGUAGCGCCUCGUGAAUUCAUCUUCGGGGGUAGAGCACUGUUUCGGCUAGGGGGUCAUCCCGACUUACCAACCCGAUGCAAACUACGAAUACCGAAGAAUGUUAUCACGGGAGACACACGGCGGGUGCUAACGUCCGUCGUGAAGAGGGAAACAACCCAGACCGCCAGCUAAGGUCCCAAAGUCAUGGUUAAGUGGGAAACGAUGUGGGAAGGCACAGACAGCCAGGAUGUUGGCUUAGAAGCAGCCAUCAUUUAAAGAAAGCGUAAUAGCUCACUGGUCGAGUCGGCCUGCGCGGAAGAUGUAACGGGGCUAAACCAUGCACCGAAGCUGCGGCAGCGACACUAUGUGUUGUUGGGUAGGGGAGCGUUCUGUAAGCCUGCGAAGGUGACCUGUGAGGGUUGCUGGAGGUAUCAGAAGUGCGAAUGCUGACAUAAGUAACGAUAAAGCGGGUGAAAAGCCCGCUCGCCGGAAGACCAAGGGUUCCUGUCCAACGUUAAUCGGGGCAGGGUGAGUCGACCCCUAAGGCGAGGCCGAAAGGCGUAGUCGAUGGGAAACAGGUUAAUAUUCCUGUACUUGGUGUUACUGCGAAGGGGGGACGGAGAAGGCUAUGUUAGCCGGGCGACGGUUGUCCCGGUUUAAGCAUGUAGGCUGGUUAUCCAGGCAAAUCCGGAUAAUCAAGGCUGAGGUGUGAUGACGAGGCACUACGGUGCUGAAGUAACAAAUGCCCUGCUUCCAGGAAAAGCCUCUAAGCAUCAGGUAACAUCAAAUCGUACCCCAAACCGACACAGGUGGUCAGGUAGAGAAUACCAAGGCGCUUGAGAGAACUCGGGUGAAGGAACUAGGCAAAAUGGUGCCGUAACUUCGGGAGAAGGCACGCUGGUGUGUAGGUGAAGCCCCUGCGGGUGGAGCUGAGACCAGUCGAAGAUACCAGCUGGCUGCAACUGUUUAUUAAAAACACAGCACUGUGCAAACACGAAAGUGGACGUAUACGGUGUGACGCCUGCCCGGUGCCGGAAGGUUAAUUGAUGGGGUUAUCCGUAAGGAGAAGCUCUUGAUCGAAGCCCCGGUAAACGGCGGCCGUAACUAUAACGGUCCUAAGGUAGCGAAAUUCCUUGUCGGGUAAGUUCCGACCUGCACGAAUGGCGUAAUGAUGGCCAGGCUGUCUCCACCCGAGACUCAGUGAAAUUGAACUCGCUGUGAAGAUGCAGUGUACCCGCGGCAAGACGGAAAGACCCCGUGAACCUUUACUAUAGCUUGACACUGAACAUUGAGCCUUGAUGUGUAGGAUAGGUGGGAGGCUUUGAAGCGUGGACGCCAGUCUGCGUGGAGCCAACCUUGAAAUACCACCCUUUAAUGUUUGAUGUUCUAACGUUGGCCCCUUAUCGGGGUUGCGGACAGUGUCUGGUGGGUAGUUUGACUGGGGCGGUCUCCUCCCAAAGCGUAACGGAGGAGCACGAAGGUUAGCUAAUCCUGGUCGGACAUCAGGAGGUUAGUGCAAUGGCAUAAGCUAGCUUGACUGCGAGCGUGACGGCGCGAGCAGGUGCGAAAGCAGGUCAUAGUGAUCCGGUGGUUCUGAAUGGAAGGGCCAUCGCUCAACGGAUAAAAGGUACUCCGGGGAUAACAGGCUGAUACCGCCCAAGAGUUCAUAUCGACGGCGGUGUUUGGCACCUCGAUGUCGGCUCAUCACAUCCUGGGGCUGAAGUAGGUCCCAAGGGUAUGGCUGUUCGCCAUUUAAAGUGGUACGCGAGCUGGGUUUAGAACGUCGUGAGACAGUUCGGUCCCUAUCUGCCGUGGGCGCUGGAGAAUUGAGGGGGGCUGCUCCUAGUACGAGAGGACCGGAGUGGACGCAUCACUGGUGUUCGGGUUGUCAUGCCAAUGGCACUGCCCGGUAGCUAAAUGCGGAAGAGAUAAGUGCUGAAAGCAUCUAAGCACGAAACUUGCCCCGAGAUGAGUUCUCCCUGAGACU
rnacentral:rRNA from 1 species